GGUGAUUUCGAAGAUGAAGAUGAGAUUGAGGAGAAUGAAGAUGAAAAUAAAGAAGAACUGUGUUUAAAAUGGCGCUCGCCUUUUGCGCCAUGGCGCGAGGCGCACUCAGGCGACGGCUCCAUCGCCAUGUACCUCCUAGGCGAGGGUGGGUUCCGUAAGGCGCUCGCCAAGUGCGCAUUGGUCAUAAGGCGGUGCCUUAAAAGGCAACGCAAAGGCGAGCCAUGGAGACGAUGACGUUAACCGAUACUAAACCACGUAGAAACCCUAACUUAAUAAAUGGACCAACCUUAAACCAAACUUAAAACCAAACGUCUAAAAACUUAUCAAAACCCUAGCUUGCUCUUGUAGAAAAGCAAAGUUAAAAACUUAACAAAACAUGGAUCUCACGGACUGUGUUUUGCAUAAGGUUAGUACGUACUCUCUUCUCUAAUCUCAUGGGGCUUUCUUCUGAUAAAAACUAUUUAAUAAAGGCAAAAUCACGUGAAUGAAAUUUGUAUAUUACGCACGGAUACAUAACUAACGUAGUCUUCAAGUGGGUCUUCAAGGCGAGCGCUUUCUUGCGCCAUGGCGCAAGGCGCAAGGCACACACCUUAUCGCCUUGGAUCGCCAUGCGCCAUUUAAAACACAGAAGAAGAAGGAGAACAAGAACAAGAAGACGGUGGAAGAAAGAAGAAGAAGAAGGUGGUGACCAAGUGAAGAAAUGAAACCCUCUUUGUUAUAAAACAAUGUUAUGAACUUGUGAACUGAUGUAUUUUCACUUUUCAAUGCUGUGUGAACUUGUGUUUUUUUUAUCACUUUGAACUUAUCUUUUGAAUUUAUCUUGUGUUUUUUUAUAACUUUGAAACAUGA
rnacentral:lncRNA from 1 species